rnacentral:rRNA from 1 species
GAACGCUGAAGAGAGGAGCUUGCUCUUCUUGGAUGAGUUGCGAACGGGUGAGUAACGCGUAGGUAACCUGCCUUGUAGCGGGGGAUAACUAUUGGAAACGAUAGCUAAUACCGCAUAACAAUGGAUGACACAUGUCAUUUAUUUGAAAGGGGCAAUUGCUCCACUACAAGAUGGACCUGCGUUGUAUUAGCUAGUAGGUGAGGUAAUGGCUCACCUAGGCGACGAUACAUAGCCGACCUGAGAGGGUGAUCGGCCACACUGGGACUGAGACACGGCCCAGACUCCUACGGGAGGCAGCAGUAGGGAAUCUUCGGCAAUGGGGGCAACCCUGACCGAGCAACGCCGCGUGAGUGAAGAAGGUUUUCGGAUCGUAAAGCUCUGUUGUAAGUCAAGAACGGGUGUGAGAGUGGAAAGUUCACACUGUGACGGUAGCUUACCAGAAAGGGACGGCUAACUACGUGCCAGCAGCCGCGGUAAUACGUAGGUCCCGAGCGUUGUCCGGAUUUAUUGGGCGUAAAGCGAGCGCAGGCGGUUUGAUAAGUCUGAAGUUAAAGGCUGUGGCUCAACCAUAGUUCGCUUUGGAAACUGUCAAACUUGAGUGCAGAAGGGGAGAGUGGAAUUCCAUGUGUAGCGGUGAAAUGCGUAGAUAUAUGGAGGAACACCGGUGGCGAAAGCGGCUCUCUGGUCUGUAACUGACGCUGAGGCUCGAAAGCGUGGGGAGCGAACAGGAUUAGAUACCCUGGUAGUCCACGCCGUAAACGAUGAGUGCUAGGUGUUGGAUCCUUUCCGGGAUUCAGUGCCGCAGCUAACGCAUUAAGCACUCCGCCUGGGGAGUACGACCGCAAGGUUGAAACUCAAAGGAAUUGACGGGGGCCCGCACAAGCGGUGGAGCAUGUGGUUUAAUUCGAAGCAACGCGAAGAACCUUACCAGGUCUUGACAUCCCGAUGCUAUUUCUAGAGAUAGAAAGUUACUUCGGUACAUCGGUGACAGGUGGUGCAUGGUUGUCGUCAGCUCGUGUCGUGAGAUGUUGGGUUAAGUCCCGCAACGAGCGCAACCCUUAUUGUUAGUUGCCAUCAUUCAGUUGGGCACUCUAGCGAGACUGCCGGUAAUAAACCGGAGGAAGGUGGGGAUGACGUCAAAUCAUCAUGCCCCUUAUGACCUGGGCUACACACGUGCUACAAUGGUUGGUACAACGAGUUGCGAGUCGGUGACGGCGAGCUAAUCUCUUAAAGCCAAUCUCAGUUCGGAUUGUAGGCUGCAACUCGCCUACAUGAAGUCGGAAUCGCUAGUAAUCGCGGAUCAGCACGCCGCGGUGAAUACGUUCCCGGGCCUUGUACACACCGCCCGUCACACCACGAGAGUUUGUAACACCCGAAGUCGGUGAGGUAACCUUUGGAGCCAGCC